rnacentral:rRNA from 1 species
UCGAGCGGAUGACGGGAGCUUGCUCCUUGAUUCAGCGGCGGACGGGUGAGUAAUGCCCAGGAAUCUGCCUGGUAAUGGGGGACAACGUUUCGAAAGGAACGCUAAUACCGCAUACGUCCUACGGGAGAAAGCAGGGGACCUUCGGGCCUUGCGCUAUCAGAUGAGCCUAGGUCGGAUUAGCUAGUUGGUGGGGUAAUGGCUCACCAAGGCGACGAUCCGUAACUGGUCUGAGAGGAUGAUCAGUCACACUGGAACUAAGACACGGUCCAGACUCCUACAGGAGGCAGCAGUGGGGAAUAUUGGACAAUGGGCGAAAGCCUGAUCCAGCCAUGCCGCGUGUGUGAAGAAGGUCUUCGAAUUGUAAAGCACUUUAAGUUGGGAGGAAGGGCAGUAAGCUAAUACCUUGCUGUUUUGACGUUACCGACAGAAUAAGCAUCGGCUAACUCUGUG